rnacentral:tRNA from 1 species
GAGGGUAUGCUCACUGGUAGAGCGCAUGCUUAGCACGCACGAGGUCCUGGGUUCAAUCCCCAGUACCUCCA